GACCAGAGGCAAAAAAACUCUGCGAACAAACCCAGAAACACUUUUGUCUGUGGCAGUGUUUUAUCUCUCAAAGUUAUCUACUGCUGCUGCUUUUCUUUUUGGGCAAAUGCAAGCGUUAAACCCAAUACAACCUGGUUUUACCAAACUCUUCAACCGCCAAUUGCUUAAACCCUUAAACCUCCGUGCAUUCUCAUCAUCAUCAGAUGAUUACUCCAACCAGUCACGUGGUGGCCUCCCUCGCUUCUUCUCUGAAGAACUCCCCGCUUCCAAGGGUGGCGUUGUUCGUGUACAAGGCGAUGAAUUCAGGCAUAUGACUAAAGUUUUGAGGUUGGGCACGAAUGAUAGGGUAGAGCUCUUCAAUGGGAAAGGAGGUUUAAUAGAAGGGUGCAUAGAGAGAAUUGACCGUACUGGACUUGAUUUUGUUGCACUGGAAGAUCCAAAAUUAGUCCCUCCUCUGAGCACAAAGUGGAAUGUAUUUGCAGCAUUUGGUACUCUAAAGGGUGAUCGAGCUGACUGGCUUCUUGAGAAAUGCACGGAACUUGGAGCUCAUAGUGUGACCCCUCUACUGACUGAACGUUCUCCAUCAAUCUCAGAAAAUCGAGUGGACAGGUUUCGACGUGUCAUUUUGGCAGCAACUAAACAGAGUCAGCGGUUGCAUGAAAUGAUUCUAAAUCCUCCAACUAAAAUUGUUGGCCUUUUGCCCCUGCUUGCCCAGUCGAAGCUAUCUUUUCUGGCAACAGCAGGAGCUACUCCUGUUGUUAGUGUAUUGACUUCCUCAAGAAAAGAAUCUAGUGGAUUGAUGAUAGUGGGACCAGAAGGGGACUUCACGGAGAAAGAAGUGAACAUGAUGAUGAAAGCUGGCGCAUCAGCUGUUGGUCUUGGACCCCAUCGCCUCCGUGUUGAAACUGCAACAAUGGCACUUUUGGCUACUCUAAUGCUAUGGUCUGACUCCCAGUAGUAUUGAUUUCUUCGUCACAUUUGCAAGCCAAUGAUGAAAUUUUUUUGACUAGGGUUGAUGAAUUGUUCAGUUUUCCGGUGUCAUCCAGCGAACAUUUAAGAAAAAGAUCAAUAGCAUGAUGCUCGGAGCUUGGUGGGGUGGGGUGGGAGGUUGUGGCAGCUGUACUAGAAGAGGUCUUUGCUUUUCUACGCAUCAACAUUUAUUUAAUAUGCUCUCUUACUAAAACUGGUGGGAAAAAAAUUGAGUGGGCAUAUUGACAUUGAGAUCCCCCAAGUCUGGCGGUGCUUUAUUCUAUGUCCGACCACUACGGUCGGCUGCUGCUAUGAUUUACAGGAUAAAGCAUUUAUAUGUUGCACAUGCUCUCCAAAGUCUGCUAUUAAAGCUAAUCCUUAGUUUAUUUUUCUUAAGAAAAAUUAUGCCAUGGGGCGUUGUGAGUCUUGUGACUUGUGAUUCUGCUCUUUUUGAGAGCAUUUUUUACGUACUUGAAGAGGGUUUGCACAUGCCUACCCUCAUCGUGGGAUAUAGGGGCUUUUUUUCCCUA